ACGCUCGACACCUACGGGAGGCAGCAGUGAGGAAUAUUGGUCAAUGGACGCAAGUCUGAACCAGCCAUGCCGCGUGCAGGAUGACGGCUCUAUGAGUUGUAAACUGCUUUUGUACGAGGGUAAACGCAGAUACGUGUAUCUGUCUGAAAGUAUCGUACGAAUAAGGAUCGGCUAACUCCGUGCCGGCAGUCGCGGUAAUCUGAGCGGGCUGGCAAGGC
rnacentral:rRNA from 1 species